UACACUCCUACGGGAGGCAGCAGUGGGGAAUAUUGGACAAUGGGCGCAAGCCUGAUCCAGCCAUGCCGCGUGAGUGAUGAAGGCCCUAGGGUUGUAAAGCUCUUUCACCGGAGAAGAUAAUGACGGUAUCCGGAGAAGAAGCCCCGGCUAACUUCGUGCCAGCAGCCGCGGUAAUACGAAGGGGGCUAGCGUUGUUCGGAAUUACUGGGCGUAAAGCGCACGUAGGCGGAUCGAUCAGUCAGGGGUGAAAUCCCAGGGCUCAACCCUGGAACUGCCUUUGAUACUGUCGAUCUGGAGUAUGGAAGAGGUGGGUGGAAUUCCGAGUGUAGAGGUGAAAUUCGUAGAUAUUCGGAGGAACACCAGUGGCGAAGGCGGCUCACUGGUCCAUUACUGACGCUGAGGUGCGAAAGCGUGGGGAGCAAACAGGAUUAGAAACCCUGGUAGUCCCAUGA
rnacentral:rRNA from 1 species